rnacentral:rRNA from 1 species
AUAGAAUCCAACUGCCUAGAGGUCGUUAAUCUCUGGAACUCGCGUCAUGAUGGCAGGACUGUUGUGGCGCCUAUCCUGUCCGAAAUUUUGGAGCACUCUAUUAGUUUUAAGUCUUUCUGUAUUCAAUAUAUUUCGAGAACAGCCAACUACCCUACUCACCUAUGUGCUAGACAUGCAAGCACACUGGAUGUAACAGAAUGUUGGUUUGACUUUGCCCCGGUAUCAUUGUAA